AGUGAACGCUGGCGGCAUGCCUAAUACAUGCAAGUCGAGCGGCCGGACAGGAAGCGUUCUCCUUUACCGGUGGCGGGUGGCGGGCGAGUGACGCGUGCAUAACCUACCUAUAUUACGUGGGGGAUUACGUAGAGCCAGAUCUGCUACCAGAUAAUAUAUUGAACCGGUGAGUGCAAGAGUUCAUGACGGUUUUGGUGUCACUAUGAGACGGAGCCGGGUUGGCUAGUUGGCGAGGUAAAGGCCCACCAAGGCAACGAUCCGUAGCUGGUCUGAGAGGGUGAUCGGCCACACUGGAACUGAGACACGGUCCAGACUCCUACGGGAGGCAGCAGUAGGGAAUAUUCGGCAAUGGGCGCAAGCCUGACGCAGCCAUGCCGCGUGAGUGAAGAAGGUCUUCGGGUUGUAAAGCUCUUUUAUUAGGGAAGAACAGAUGCGGAAUUAAACCCGGCUGUUCUGACGGUACCCAAAGAGUAAGCACCGGCUAACUUCGUG
rnacentral:rRNA from 1 species